rfam:Burkholderia choica isolate LMG 22940 genome assembly, contig: contig000139
CCAGUUUCUCGACGAACGCCAGCAAUUCAAGCUCCUGCGGCGUCAGCUCUUCUCGCGCGAUGUCGGAUAGGGGAGCGUGCGGGCCAGCCAUUGAACCGAGACAGUAUUGACAUCCCGGGUGCCGACGCGGUUCAGAACGCGGAAGGCCAUACGGAAAGGUGCGUGAGCGCGAGACGCCCUGACGACCCGACGUGGUCGAAGACCC